rnacentral:lncRNA from 1 species
CCAAAGUGGACCAAGACUAACUUAAAUGGGUAAGGCCAUGUAAUCCACCCACAUGUUCAGUGGGAGAGAAGACCCCGAACAUAUUGGAGGAAAAAACAAAUAAUAUUAUGUAGCUUCCAUCUAGAAUUCAUUUCUCUGCUCCUCAUCAGAAUAUGAUGGAAGCUGGAGAGUCAUGAAGUCGCCCAUGGUCAUUAUCUGCUGCCAUCCAUUACAGAUUCACAGCACCACAAGUACAUAAUUUAUGAAUCUAUACGUGUACAUGUCUUGAAAUGUAUUCUGGAAAGAUCUUACUAAUGGGAUGUGAGAACUACUUCAUAUGGCUCUCCCUGCAGAAAACUGCAGACAACAGAUGCCUGAGAAGAGGAGGAUGUUUACCAUUGGAGGGAAAUGGAAAGUGUUUAUUUUCUGUCUGUUCAGAAGCUCAACAUCAGAUGCACAUCUCAGGGCCCUGGUGCCCUGAACACACACACGCACAUGGACCUUGGGAUUCUGCUUACUGAAAAACUGAAGCAGCUCACAUUCACUCAACAAACACUACCGAAUGCCUCACAAGCUCUUCCAGUUGCCUAGAUUGGUUGAAAAUAGACACCGAGUACCACAUCAGGUAAAGCUCAUAAUGGCACGCACAGUGACCGUGAUUCCUAGCGGGAGACCUUCUCUUGUGGUCUCUUAAGUGUCUGUGUUAUCUUGCAAAUGGAGGCACAGAAUGCCUUUGUUCUGGGUUUUCUUUUCAAGGAUGUUUAUAUAGCUACGGGUUUUGGAAGACAAACACAUUUCCUACAGGAGCAACAGGCCGGCUUGAGCACUGCCCAGUACAAAAGCUUUGAGUUCUCUAAGCUCAAGGUUCUUCUCUGAAGCACAGCUGACCGAGGAUGCAAGUAUGUGGUUUUCUUCACGUUUUGUUGUUGGGAAUUGGGGCUUGAGGAAUGGGUGCAAGUGCUGAUGCUCUGCUUGUGAGCCAUCUCUGUGAUGAUGAACAGCCCUCUGCCUGUAAGUAAUAAAUAGCCCUGGAUCUCUGGCCCUGGAGUCUUG